rnacentral:rRNA from 1 species
GUAGUCCACGCCGUAAACGAUGGAUACUAGCUGUUGGGAUUUAUCUCAGUGGCUAAGCGAAAGUGAUAAGUAUCCCACCUGGGGAGUACGUUCGCAAGAAUGAAACUCAAAGGAAUUGACGGGGGCCCGCACAAGCGGUGGAGCAUGUGGUUUAAUUCGAUGAUACGCGAGGAACCUUACCAAGGCUUAAAUGUAGUUUGACAGAUUUGGAAACAGAUCUUUCUUCGGACAAAUUACAAGGUGCUGCAUGGUUGUCGUCAGCUCGUGCCGUGAGGUGUCAGGUUAAGUCCUAUAACGAGCGCAACCCCUGUUGUUAGUUGCCAGCGAGUCAAGUCGGGAACUCUAACAAGACUGCCAGUGUAAACUGUGAG